UCAAUCUUGUCGGAGUGCCAUUGGGCUGAGAUCGCGUAAGCGGGAUCCGUAGAACCUGAUCUGAGUAAUUUCAGCGAAGGAAACAAGGGAAAUAUCGAU
rnacentral:ncRNA from 2 species